rnacentral:rRNA from 1 species
AUUGAACGCUGGCGGCAGGCUUAACACAUGCAAGUCGAACGAGUGGCGGACGGGUGAGUAAUGUCUGGGAAACUGCCUGAUGGCGGGGGAUAACUACUGGAAACGGUAGCUAAUACCGCAUACCAUCAGAUGUGCCCAGAUGGGAUUAGCUAGUUGGGGGGGUAAGGGCUCACCAAGGCGACGAUCCCUAGCUGGUCUGAGAGGAUGACCAGCCACACUGGAAUGGAGCCACGGUCCAUACUCCUACGGGAGGCAGCAGUGGGGAAUUUUUGACAAUGGGCGCAAGCCUGAUGCAGCCAUGCAGCGUGUGUGAAGAAGGCCGUCGGGUGGUAAAGUACUUUCAGCGGGGAGGCGUUAUCCGCAGAAGAAGCACCGGCUAACUCCGUGCCAGCCGCCGCGGUAAUAC